GUGGCGGGCCGUCAGGGCCAGCAAGGCCUUCUCUGCUGGCCUGAACACUAGCAGAAGCAUCGACCUACAUUUACAACCUAAAUUCUAAUAUUUGUUCCAUGAAAUUGUAUUAAUUUAUUCCCAACAGUUUAUUAUCUUCACUUCGUAGCAUGUCUCUCGGCUGCACCGCUUCCAGUACGUGUAUGUGGAUAUUCGAUUUUUGUCCAAUCAGAUUUCAGCCUCUAUGUGUUGCCAUGUCAGUCUAAUCUGCCCAGGGCCUUCAGAAUCAGUAGUGCUGGCCCACACAAUUUAGACUGUGUUAGCCAUUGACUGUUUCUUUAACCAAUCAGAUUUGACGGGGAAAGCGUCAGCAUUCUUCCGCCCUCUGAUUGGUUGGUCUGGGCAGAAGUUACAUCCAAGUGCGCCUAGCAGUUCCGAACUGCUCCGGAUGAUGUUCACGGCACAGUUGCGGUUGUAGUGUAGAGGUUUGAAGUUGUUUUAACUGUGUUUCUUGUUGUAGUAAUAAUGUUUAUUAUCUUCAACACGCGAAAUUCCUCCCUCUAUAAUGCCGCGCCUUGUCAUAUUGCGUUUUGAAUGUUUUCUAAUUUAUAAUUGCGACGUGAUAGUGGUUGUAGUAAGAGGUGGACUAAGUCAGGUAUGUCCCCACUGAAGGCCCAGGUACCAGGUACCGGCCGCCACUGGACCGAACUACAUGUGGCACGCGGGUGGUUAUGAUAAACUUAAGCCAUUGGGUUUGGCUCUUUCAGGCUGUCUGGAUGGAUUUUCACGUAGUGCACAAGUGCUGUGGCUUGCGUGUGGACCGACAGAUCGUGACCCAGGUGUGCUCGCCCACUAUUUUCUGUCUUGUGUGCGAAACCUUGGUGUCACUGCCGUGAGACUGAGGACUGAUUGCGGCACGGAGAACGGGAUCAUGGCGUCCAGCCACAUGUAUGGCUCAUCCACAAACAACCAGAGGACUGAGUCCUGGUGGUCCGUGUUCACAAAGGGAAGUUUCUGUAGUGUCAGUUCUGGAUGGAGCUAUUUGCAGACCUCAGGGACGUGGGGUACUUCAGUGGGAAUCAUGAGCAUCAGUGUCUGCUGAGAUGUUGCCUUGGAUGAUGUUCUUCAGAAGGACUUGGAUGAGUGUGUGACACUGGAUCAGUCACAGGAUUCGGCCCUCCAGGACAGCAUCAUGUCCAGUGAGUGUACUACUUACCACACAGGUUUGGCUCCAGAGACUGUGGAUUUAAAAUUGAACAGGCUGAAGUGGUUGCCUUUGCUGAGGCUCGCCUGACCAGAGAUCCAUGUGGGGACGCAAACAUGCAGGAGUACGUAGACUUAGCCAUGGAGCACGGUCAUUUACAGAAGCCAGAGUACUGCAACUGAACUGUAUCUAAGACUGAAAGAAGCUGCUCAACUGUGGAUGGAAGAGAGGUUUAUUGUAAUAGUGGAACAUUUGUCACCCACAGCUUAAUUAUUUCAAAGUGGGAAACAUGAAUUUAAAAAAAAGCAAAGUAAAGUAAUGAGCAGUUAUUACAUUUUUGUAUGGACAACAAAACUUUUGAAAUACUUGUUUGUUUUUUCAUUCCAAUUCUAAAACAGUGAUUCAUAAACAGACAACAGUUUGAGGAUCAUGGAUCUAAAACAACUGACCGAGCAAAUAAACAAGCUCACAUACUUUUAACAUUUUAAAAACCUCUUUAACAAAAGCUGCUGCACCUUUAGGUGCACCAAUGUCAACAGCACUGAUUUUUAGAGUCCAAGCUCCCGGAGUCAUCCAGUCACAUGGCUUAUAAACGGCCAAGUCCAUUUGUGACUUAAACACACUGUAUGAAUCUCAGAGUGGUAAUUUCAACAACUCUGAACAUGUAUUUGCCAUUGGGAAUGGAGAGUCAUCCAGGAACUCUGUUUGAGGUAGUGGUUCCAAGCCAGAAGAGGGAAGUGACGUCAGCCCAGCUGCAAACAUCAAAACAUCCGCCACAGACACAGCAGCCUCGCCUCCUGCAAAGGAAAAACUGUUAAAUGUUGAGAUAUACCAUGGUAAUGUGGUUUUCCAAGUAGCU